rnacentral:lncRNA from 1 species
GGUGGGUGAAAAAUGUUUAACAAAUACGGAUUGUGAAUGCGACCCUCCUUUGAUAGCUUUUUGUAUAUUUAAAAAGUGUAUGUGUCAACCAAAACUAUUCGACAACAUACGAUUACCAAACCCAUAGGGGUUAAAAAGAAGCUCAACUAUAGUAUUAAAUAAGCUGUCAUUAGUUAUGGCAUUUCCAUCUUAUAAUUUGAUUUUCAUAUAGUUUGUUGUUUUUCAUAUUUCAUGGACCUUGUAGUUAAUUUUUGUACUACAAAAUGAUGUUAAAUGAAAUAAAAUAAGUUAUCGUUUUUUCUUUACAAUCUUAUUGUCUAUUAGAAUAUUUAUGUUGAAAAUAUUUUUAGGUUUUUAAGCCUAUCAUUUUAAAAUUUCUCUUAUGAUAUUCU